GUCGAACGGUAACAGGAAGCAGCUUGCUGCUUUGCUGACGAGUGGCGGACGGGUGAGUAAUGUCUGGGAAACUGCCUGAUGGAGGGGGAUAACUACUGGAAACGGUGGCUAAUACCGCAUAACGUCGCAAGACCAAAGAGGGGGACCUUCGGGCCUCUUGCCAUCAGAUGUGCCCAGAUGGGAUUAGCUUGUUGGUGAGGUAACGGCUCACCAAGGCGACGAUCCCUAGCUGGUCUGAGAGGAUGACCAGCCACACUGGAACUGAGACACGGUCCAGACUCCUACGGGAGGCAGCAGUGGGGAAUAUUGCACAAUGGGCGCAAGCCUGAUGCAGCCAUGCCGCGUGUAUGAAGAAGGCCUUCGGGUUGUAAAGUACUUUCAGCGGGGAGGAAGGUGUUGUGGUUAAUAACCGCAGCAAUUGACGUUACCCGCAGAAGAAGCACCGGCUAACUCCGUGCCAGCAGCCGCGGUAAUACGGAGGGUGCAAGCGUUAAUCGGAAUUACUGGGCGUAAAGCGCACGCAGGCGGUCUGUCAAGUCGGAUGUGAAAUCCCCGGGCUCAACCUGGGAACUGCAUUCGAAACUGGCAGGCUUGAGUCUUGUAGAGGGGGGUAGAAUUCCAGGUGUAGCGGUGAAAUGCGUAGAGAUCUGGAGGAAUACCGGUGGCGAAGGCGGCCCCCUGGACAAAGACUGACGCUCAGGUGCGAAAGCGUGGGGAGCAAACAGGAUUAGAUACCCUGGUAGUCCACGCCGUAAACGAUGUCUACUUGGAGGUUGUGCCCUUGAGGCGUGGCUUCCGGAGCUAACGCGUUAAGUAGACCGCCUGGGGAGUACGGCCGCAAGGUUAAAACUCAAAUGAAUUGACGGGGGCCCGCACAAGCGGUGGAGCAUGUGGUUUAAUUCGAUGCAACGCGAAGAACCUUACCUGGUCUUGACAUCCACGGAAGAAUUCAGAGAUGGAUUUGUGCCUUCGGGAACCGUGAGACAGGUGCUGCAUGGCUGUCGUCAGCUCGUGUUGUGAAAUGUUGGGUUAAGUCCCGCAACGAGCGCAACCCUUAUCCUUUGUUGCCAGCGGUCCGGCCGGGAACUCAAAGGAGACUGCCAGUGAUAAACUGGAGGAAGGUGGGGAUGACGUCAAGUCAUCAUGGCCCUUACGACCAGGGCUACACACGUGCUACAAUGGCGCAUACAAAGAGAAGCGACCUCGCGAGAGCAAGCGGACCUCAUAAAGUGCGUCGUAGUCCGGAUUGGAGUCUGCAACUCGACUCCAUGAAGUCGGAAUCGCUAGUAAUCGUGGAUCAGAAUGCCACGGUGAAUACGUUCCCGGGCCUUGUACACACCGCCCGUCACACCAUGGGAGUGGGUUGCAAAAGAAGUAGGUAGCUUAACCUUCGGGAGGGCGCUUACCACUUUGUGAUUCAUGACUGGGGUGAAGUCGUAACAAGGUAACCGUAGGGGAACCUGCGGUUGGAUCACCUCCUUACCUGAAAGAAGC
rnacentral:rRNA from 1 species